UAAAAGUACCCAUUACUACUACUUACUAUCAUUGAUAUAGUACAUCGUUUUUAACCAUUUUGGAAGAGGGUCCAAGCGAAAAAGAACAAGCCCCCAAGACGUCACCCAAGUUGGUGGAAGUUGACAAUUUGUGUUGGACCAGAGAGCAGGAAUUUGCAUACAAUUGAAUUGUGUCAGUCUAUCUGUCUGUCUGCCU
rnacentral:sRNA from 1 species